UCUAUAUCUAAUUUACGCAGUGAAGACAAACCUGAAAACAUUUUAAAGCAUUGUUUAAUUUGUGUCUUUGUUCUAUUUAUUUGUUUGUGCUAUUUACAGAAUUUCAAACAGGGCCCAUACCCCAUACCCCAGCUACGGACCUGGCUGGUUCAGAAUCAGGUCUGCCUCUAGCCGCUGUAGCAGGAAUGGUAUGUGUUGGUGGAGCUGUUGUUCUGCUGCUCAUUGUUGCUGGUGUGAUUUAUGGUCGCAAACGUCAAGCAGGACAACGUGACAUCAUGCUGCACUUCAGUAAUCAGAUGAAUGGCACUGAAGACCCUGUUGAUGACUCCUGCCAAUGAAUCGUUUCUUAAUCAGACUGAAACUAAGGAUGCUAAUGAGACAUCACAGUAACAUUAUUUAUUAUUUUGAUACUUCCAUUGAAAGAAAAGUGAAGUUGUGAAACCUACAGUGUCAUGAUACCAAGAUUUCAGCAUUCAGCACCAAAAGCAGUGAAAUUUCACCCCGACACCAAUUUCAACUUAUUAAAUUCAAACUCAUUUGCUGUAAUUCAUUAUUUUAAGUAAUCUAAAUAAUAAAUAGAAUUGUAGCCUAAAUAUAUAUAAGACAUACCGUAAAUUAGCAACUAAAUGAGUAAACUUUGAGAAAGCCUGGGCAGAAAGUUUCAAGUAAAAGCUAAACGUUUAAGGGUUUUGAAGGCCAUACAGAAAAACAGACAGACAGACAGAACGAAGAAUACAAUUGAUGGAUCAUUUAUGGCCCAGGCUAUCCCAAGAUUCAUUGCAUGCCAAUGACGACAGGAUAUGUUUGAGAGAAUAUGCUGGAUUACACUUUUAAAUAUAAGUAUUGGGUUUACGCUUACUCAAAAUGUAAUUAUACAAAUGUGAAAAACUGUGAAAAAAAGUUUAAAAGUCAUAUCUUACUGAGAUGCAAUAUUAUAGACGGUUUAUUAUUUUUAUUAUGUACAUAAAUGGACCAAGAUGAGCAUAUUUAGACAGGUUGCAAACCCUGUUUAGUGUUUAAUAUCACUUUAAAAACAAAAAGUCCAGUACAAACCAGUACAAAUAGAAAGAAAUCUUAAUUGAAUCUAAGGGCUUCAGUGUUAUUACAUUUUUGACAGUUUGGAGUUUGGAUAGUCUUGGCUCAUUUGAAAAUUCUGUCAAUAUAAGUCUAAGUCUAAAUUUCAUUUUUAGGAAAACUGUAACUGUAAUCAUAAGUUUUAAAAUAUAUAUCACACAACUCAGAAAGUCUUAAAAGUAGCCUAUAGUUCACCCAAAAUGAAAAUUCUGUCAUUACUUACUCAUCCUCAUGUCAUUCCAACCCUGUAAGAAGAAGAGAAGAUUUGUUGAAUUGUUGUUAUUUUUGUUUUCUUUGCACACAAAAAGUAUUCUCAUAGCUUCGUAAAAUUACAGUUGAACCACUGAUGUCACAUGGACCAUUUUAAUGUUUCUGGAUGAGUAAUUAAUGACAGAACUUUCAUUUUUGGGUGAACUAUCCCUUUAAGGUCUGACCCGAGUUUGGUGACCCAACUUAAAAGCUGUAAGAGGAGUUAGAGUCAGACAUUUUCUAUUAUAGAAUAUUUUUUAAAUCAAACAACAUGUUGGUUUUCUCAAGCCAAAAUAAUAA